AGUGAACGCUGGCGGUAGGCCUAACACAUGCAAGUCGAACGGCAGCACAGUAAGAGCUUGCUCUUACGGGUGGCGAGUGGCGGACGGGUGAGGAAUACAUCGGAAUCUACUUUUUCGUGGGGGAUAACGUAGGGAAACUUACGCUAAUACCGCAUACGACCUACGGGUGAAAGCAGUGGAUCUUCGGACCUUGCGCGAUUGAAUGAGCCGAUGUCGGAUUAGCUAGUUGGCGGGGUAAAGGCCCACCAAGGCGACGAUCCGUAGCUGGUCUGAGAGGAUGAUCAGCCACACUGGAACUGAACCACGGUCCAGACUCCUACGGGAGGCAGCAGUGGGGAAUAUUGGACAAUGGGCGCAAGCCUGAUCCAGCCAUACCGCGUGGGUGAAGAAGGCCUUCGGGUUGUAAAGCCCUUUUGUUGGGAAAGAAAAGCAGCAGGUUAAUACCCCGCUGUUCUGACGGUACCCAAAGAAUAAGCACCGGCUAACUUCGUG
rnacentral:rRNA from 1 species